AAAUCAAUGCAUAAUGGGGGAGGUGCAUUGGCCAAGCGCAAUGUAUGCUCAUCAAUCUAGCCUAAGGCCCACAACAAGGCCCACGAUAGAACAACAUCCAAGAGGAAAGGAUAGGAACGAAUAAGUUAUAAUGUUGAGCAUGCACUGAUUCCCUAGCCUCUAAGCUACACACCGGUAACAAAUUUGAAGCGAAAUGAGGAAAAGAUUUGAGUAACCUAUCGAAGAAGAUGAAGCUGAAGACGGAGACAACAACGAAAUUCAGGGUUUACAUUCUUGGUUUGCAGACUUAUUCAUGGUCUCAUGUUGUAGCUUGUGGCCAUUGUGCAUUGAUAUGGUCUUGACUUGAUUAUUUUGCAGAUUUGCUGCAGAAUUAAGGCAUUGCCCGAGUUUGGACAAGGAUGCAAAUCAAGGCUUUGUCCAUUUCUCAAUCCAAGGCAUCAAGUGAUGUGAUUAGGAUAGGGCAAACCAUGCUAGUGUAAUGUGUGAUGUAAAGCUUGUAAUUGAACCUUGUUUAGAUCAUGCAAAAAUGUAAUACAUCAAGAAACAUGUAAUUGACUUCAACAUGGUGAAUCCUAAUUUAAUCAAAUGCAAUUGUUUUAUUAUGCAUGAA